rnacentral:rRNA from 1 species
CAUAUGCUUGUCUCAAAGAUUAAGCCAUGCAAGUCUAAGUAUAAGCACUUAUACUGUGAAACUGCGGAAAGCUCAUUAUAUCAGUUAUAGUUUAUUUGAUGGUACCCUUACUACAUGGAUAACCGUAGUAAUUCUAGAGCUAAUACAUGCCCGGUAACGGUGACCUCUCGGGGAAGCCGCGGACUUAUUAGAUACAAAACCAAUCCCUUCGGGGUCCAUUGGUGAAUCAUAAUAAUUCAUCGAAUCGCAUGCCUUCGGGCGGCGAUGGGUCAUUCAAAUUUCUGCCCUAUCAGCUGUGAUGUUAGUGUAGUGGACUAACAUGGCUAAAACGGGUGACGGAGGAUUAGGGUCUGAUUCCGGAGGGGGAGCCUGAGAAAUGGCUACCACUUCCAAGGAAGGCAGCAGGCGCGUAAAUUACCCAAUCCCGACACGGGGAGGUAGUGACAAGAAAUAACAAUACUGGACGUUUCUACGUUUGGUAAUUGGAAUGAGUACAACCUAAAAUCCUUAACAAGGAACAAUUGGAGGGCAAGUCUGGUGCCAGCAGCCGCGGUAAUACCAGCUCCAAUAGCGUAUAUAAAGUUGUUGCAGUUAAAAAGGCUCGUAGUCGAACUUAUGACCUUGUAAGCCCUGUCAGAUCUUCUACUGUGAGAAGAACAAAGUGUUCAAAGCAGGCUUGAUGCUUGAAUGCGUUAGCAUGGAAUAAUAAGAUAGGACUUCGGCUCUAUUUUGUUGGCUUUCAGGACCAAAGUAAUGAUUAAUAGGGAUAGUUGGGGGUGCUCGUAUUCAACGGUCAGCGGUGAAAUGCAUGGACCCGUUAAAGACGAACUUAUGCGAAAGCAUUCACCAAGGAUAUCUUCUUUGAUCAAGAACGAAAGUUGGGGGAUCGAAGACGAUCAGAUACCGUCGUAGUCUCAACCAUAAACUAUGCCAACUGGUGAUUGGCGGCAGUUGAUCGUUGACCCCGUCAGCAACCUAUGAGAAAUCAAAGUCUCUGGGUUCUGGGGGGAGUAUGGUCGCAAGGCUGAAACUUAAAGGAAUUGACGGAAGGGCACCACCAGGAGUGGAGCCUGCGGCUUAAUUUGACUCAACACGGGGAAACUUACCAGGUCCGGACAUAGUAAGGAUUGACAGAUUGAAGUUCUUUCUUGAUUCUAUGGGUGGUGGUGC